rnacentral:lncRNA from 1 species
GAAAAGUAUAAAAGUAUGUCUGUUGUCUUCUUCCUGUAGAUACUUUUUUUAGAUUGACUAAUUGUGAUGGCUUCACUGUAUUAAUAUUUUGAGGUAAAUACAUUAUACUGAAGGGUUUAUUGUGAUAGUAAGAUAUAAAAAAUCCAUCUUUCAAACACUAUCCUUUAAAAGUUUGAAAAUUUUAGUUAAAAGUUUGUUAAAUGUUUUAGGUCAUCAUUGGUUAUUACGAAAUGUAGAGAACCCAGGAAGGAGUGGUGGUCCAGAUCAGCCCAUGUGCAUCCAGAUAUACAUCCUGACCCAGAGGCUUGGGCAAACCUGCCCAACCAAGGUCUGCUCAGGAAACUGCUGCACAGAUGCCCCAGCUUCAGUGAGAAGCCUGCCCCGCAGAAUGGGGAACUAAGAAGACAUUGAUUCCUAAAAUUAUGAAACAAAGGCCUUGAAGUUUAUUGUGCCAAACCUCAAAUUUUACUGGGUACAGCAGUUAGGUUCUUCUGAUUGACAUAAGACAACCUAAGCCUACAUGUAGUGCUGGUGACUAUUGAUCCAACCACAACUGAAAAAUGCCACAAUAUGAGGAAUGUUGGUUUAUUAAAGGAAAGGAAAGCUGCUCAUAUCAUGGCAGCCAGGAAGGAAUAGAAAAGGAAAGAGUUGGAGAGGAAAGGACCAGGGAUGAUAUAUAGACCCCAAGGUCAUGCCUUCAUAAUGCAUUUUGGUCAAGCAGGCCCCACCUCCUAAAUUUCCAACACUACCCAAGAAUACUGUCAAAUUAUGAUUUCAUCAAUGGACUAAUCUGAUGAAGUUGGAGCUUUCAUGAUCUAAUCACCUAAAAGUUCUUCCUCUGAAUGCAUGAGAAUUGGGGUCAUUUUUGAUCUAAACCACAACAGAUGUCAUGAACUGAUAAGACUACUGAAAAAAUGUAUUUUUGGUUAAAGCCAUGAAAAUAACCUUUUGGAAGUAUGGGUCUGAUGUGACUACAUAAUACCCAGAUGGAGAGACAGCAGUGGUACAGUUCGAGGAACCAUAAUCUGAAAAUCUGAAAUCUUAAAAGCACCAAAUUUUAAAACUUUUUGACCACCUAUAUGAUUCCAUAAGUGGAAAAACUACACUUAAGCUCAUGUUAUAGGUUGCAAUUAGCACAUAGAUUCACUAAAAAUAUUGCAUGAAAUUUCCUUCAGGCUAUGUAUAGAAGGUGUAUAAGAAACAAAUGUAUUUCAUGUUCAUAUUUGCAUCCCAUUCUGAAAUUUUUGUUAUGUAUAUAAGAACAUUCCAAAAUUGAAACAAUUCUAAACUAUGAAAAAG